rnacentral:rRNA from 1 species
AUUGAACGCUGGCGGCAGGCUUAACACAUGCAAGUCGAGCUAGCGGCGGACGGGUGAGUAAUGUCUGGGAAACUGCCUGAUGGAGGGGGAUAACUACUGGAAACGGUAGCUAAUACCGCAUACCAUCAGAUGUGCCCAGAUGGGAUUAGCUAGUCGGUGGGGUAAUGGCUCACCUAGGCGACGAUCCCUAGCUGGUCUGAGAGGAUGACAGGCAAAACUGGAACUGGGACACGGUCCAUACUCCUACGGGAGGCAGAAGUGGGGAAUAUUGCACAAUGGGGGCAAUCCUGAUGCAGCCAUGCCGCGUGUGUGAAGAAGGCCUUCGGGUUGUAAAGCACUUUCAGCGAGGAGGCGUUACCCGCAGAAGAAGCACCGGCUAACUCCGUGCCAGCAGCCGCGGUAAUUC